rnacentral:lncRNA from 1 species
UGUUCAAAUUUUCUCACAAAAAUUCAAAAUUUAGUACUCAAAUUUCAAUCAACUUUAGAUCUAAUAAAAAAAUUUACAUUUAACGGUUUCUCAAUUUUGUAUUUCUAGCACCUUUCAAUUAGUAUUUACGAAGUAAACUAAAAUUGUGCUAUAUAUGGUGAGGAAAUAGUGUAUUAUCACACUGGUGCUACUUAGAGUAAUUUGUGGAA